CAGCCGCGGUAAUACGAAGGGGGCGAGCGUUGUUCGGAUUUACUGGGCGUAAAGGGCGCGUAGGCGGCCGCUCAAGUCAGGCGUGAAAGCCCCGGGCUCAACCUGGGAGGUGCGCUUGGGACUGGGUGGCUGGAGUUCGGGAGAGGAGCGUGGAAUUCCCAGUGUAGAGGUGAAAUUCGUAGAUAUUGGGAAGAACACCGGUGGCGAAGGCGGCGCUCUGGACCGAGACUGACGCUGAGGCGCGAAAGCGUGGGGAGCAAACAGGAUUAGAUACCCUGGUAGUCCACGCCGUAAACGAUGUGUGCUAGACGUUGGGGAGCCUAGCUCCUCGGUGUCGCAGCCAACGCUUUAA
rnacentral:rRNA from 1 species